rnacentral:lncRNA from 1 species
AGCACAGUUGGAGAUACUGUGUUGAGAAGCCUUCGCUCAUGGCAGUGUUUUCCCUGUUCAUUUUCGGCUGCUUCUUGCAUUGGAAAAUUCCAUCCUUUAACACUGGGAUUAUAUGUCACCAUUGCUGAAAUCAUAAGAGUCUACUUAAUUGGCUUGCAAGCAUGAGAGAUAGCCAGAGAGAAUGGGAGAGGCCGAGCAUUCCCUUGCAUAAAGAGGGGAUUCAACAAGACUGAAAAUUACACAGCCUCUUAGGGGGCCCUCAAUGGAGACAUGAUGGAUCACGUGACCACCUUUUCUUCCUGCUUCCCCACUUUGCUCCCUCCUGCCCUUGACUCCUGUCCUCUGGACGCACUCUCCAAAAUAAUCUUCCUUUCCAAAAGCCCUCGUCACAGGCUCUGCUUUCUGCAAGGAACUCGAGGCAGGACAGCAUGAUGAUACACUAGAAUGAAGGCGAAUUGUCUGUCUGUGAAUGGGCUUCAAAGAGAACUUGGGGAAACACCAGACCAGAGGCUCAUUGGAAUCAGAGCAUACAGAAUAGAAUGGACAGGCCCCCAUCCAGCUCUCACAAGUUCAAGUAUACGCUAACAAGUAUCUGAGUCUUCCACGAAGAACAGGAGGAGAAGCUCCCCCAGCCUGGUCAAGCCUUUUGAACAUCUGUAAAAGUACAUGUGACACGGAGAAGAAGCAGAGAACAAAAGAGCGUGUGGACAAACAUUCAGGAAUCCCAAUCGCAGGAGACUUUGGCCCUCUUUCUAGAUCUAAUUAUAAAACUGCAAAUGAUGCUGGCCUAUUCCAAGGAAGUUGUUGCUCUCACUCUAGAUGUGGUCUCUGGCGACAAGUAAAGGUGGGGAAGAUGGGGGCAGGGAGCGCCUCUUUGCCUCUGUCAUGAUCCAUUGUGAGCCAGUGUGGCCUUUCCAUCAGCCCGGUUGUUGGCUGCAUGCUCAGGAUUCUGAAAAAUCUAGUUACCUCCCUGUAUCUUUCUGUACCUGUAGAGAGUACAUCUGUAUGAUCUAGUCCAGUGGUUCUCAGAAUGU